AUGGACGUGAUGAUUAUUUCCCCAAAUUAUCGAAGCUGAUUAUAACUGUGCUAUUUUUUGUAAUUCUCUUUUUGGAGAAUCCAAGCCAGUAUUCUGAUCCGU